rnacentral:tRNA from 2 species
GGUAGCUUGGCCGAGAGGUUAAGGCAUGCGAGUUAAAAUCGCUGGGAUUAUAUCUGCGUGAGUUCGAUUCUCACAGCUACCA